rnacentral:lncRNA from 1 species
ACUGCAGUACUUAUCCCGCAUUUCCCAUGGGGCACAAGGCUAUCAACUGUGAGCAGGCCUAUAGGUUGAGGUUGAUCUGAAAGAUAGGACUAUUUGUGAUCCAGAAUCAAAAGAGUCAAGAAAAGUCUGAGAAUUUCAUCCUUGGAGCAGAAAGUGAAAGUGUUCUGGAGCCAAAAGUAGUAACAAAGAUGGAGGGCAAGAGAUCAUUGGAUUAAAUCAUAUUGGCAGACCAAAUUUCAGAAGAAUCAACACACCAGAGACAAGAAGAACUUGAAGUUAAAGCAAAGUUCCCUUAUACUGGAGAAUUCUUCUGCAUUCUCUGCUCAAAUAUGAUGCCCCCCACCAUGAAGAAGAGAUUCACCUUGGAUAUAACCACAAUUUACCCCCCUCAACAGAUCCCAGGAGGCUGCUGCUUACCUACUAGGGAGCCCACCUGCCUCGCUUUCUGCUUCCCCAGUCCUAUCCAUCUUGCUCCAUAUGAACUUUCCCAGGCCCAAGCUGCAGAUAUGAGAAUGAUAGCUACUCAUCAAACCUUUUUCCUUGUCUUGUUGAGCACACAGCUGGACCCCAUUUCAAAGCCUCUGUUGAGGUUAGAUAUGGUCAUGUGCCUGAGUCCUAGCCAAUAGAAUGUAACUGGGAACUGUUGUGUGUCUCUUUGAAAUCUGGCUGAUGAAUACCCACCCCCAUGCUACCCUCCAUGUUGUUUCCCUUUGUACUGACUUGAUGCAAUUGAGCCCAGGAAGCUUCAAAGCUAUAUGCUGAGGAUGGAUUUGAUAUCACAGAGGAAGCCUGGGUCCCUACAUCACUGCUUUGAGAACUGCUGCCCACCUUUUGGACCACCCAUUUUGGACUUAACAUGAGCAAGAAAUAAACUUUUCUGUUUGAACCAUUAUAUAUGUUUGGAUUUGUAUGUUGCAGCAGCUACAAUUACCUUAACCAAUAUGGACCCCCUGAGAAAAGUUGUUGGACCAAUAUGCAUUUAAGCUCAGGUUUCAAUUUUUCACACAUGAAAAAUUAUAAAUACAUAUAACUUUGAGCUUCUUUAGGAAAGAACGAAUACCCUAACUGGCUUGGUAUUCUCCCAGUAAAUAGUUCUUGAAAGGGUAUUUCAUAUAGUAGAAAUUCAAUGACUGCCUGUUCAAAAUGUUUAAAUGUUCAAGUCUUAAGAAAAAAAUGUCAACUACGAGAAGAUUAAGGAUUCAUUUACAUAGUGAGAGCUAAAUGAAGUCUUACUGAAUAAAUAAAUGAAUGAGUGAAUAAAUGGUAUAUUUGAUGAAAAUAAGUCUCACCUUAAGAUUCACAGAGAAAUUUGCUUAUCUGUAAGAUAAGGAUUGUGAUACCUUGCGCUUUCUACCUCACACGAAAUGUGUUAGUAUCAAAUCAGAGAAUUUACUUUCAAGCAUUUACUUUCUAAAUUACCAAGUGCUAGACACAUGUGAGUUCUCCAGUAUAAUUUAGAUAGAUUACUUUAUGUUUUGUCAGUAUGUUGACAGUUUAUUGAUAAUGGAGUUGAAACUCAAGGAAGGAGAAUAAUCUGUGAAGCACUUCUGAACAUCUUGGAGAUUUUUUUAAAAGUUAUAUUGGUGACCUGAAGAUUUUAGACCUCUUAAAAUUCUGAAUUACUAUUAACUUGCAGAUAAAAUAAUGCCAUUAUUUACCACUGGACUCAAGAGAACAUCUUUGUGUAUUAUUGGUACCCUGAAAUUAUAACUAAUCAUAUCCCCUCUGUAUCUCCCUAAGAUGUAUCUGCCACUUCUUAGGUUCCUACUUAGUGAUUAGAGUCAGAAAAGCAUUAAUCAACACUGCUGUGCCAAAUACUAUGGAAAUUCAUUUAACCAUAUUACAUAAUUGAAAUGUCAGAAUGUUUAAACACUUUCUGUCAUAUGAAAAUAUAUUGGAAAUGUCUAGAACCAAGCUGGCAGAGAAAAACACAAGGAAUGUUCUUAUAAAACAAAUGAGAUCUAGCUGGGCAUGGUGGCAUGUGCCUGUAGUUCCAGCUGCUCAGGAGGCUGAGGUGGGAGGACUGCUUGAGCCCAGGAGUUUGAGGCCAGCCUGGACAACAUAAUGAGAUCUCCAUCACUAAAAAUAAAUUUUAAAAUAAUGGAUAAGAAAGAUUUAAUGAUCCAUGGAAUGGUUGUUUGUGGGCUUUUGGUCAGAAGCCUGAGAGUGGGGAUUAGACAAAAGUGGCUGUCCAAUGUGUCAGUGGUGAUGCCAAUCUCUUGCCAGCUGAAAUUGAGAAGUAUAUGCAGCAGGCUUCAAUGACUGCCCUCACUGCUGAAAAGAAUAUAUCUUGUAUUGCCUGGGCAGGUGACCUUCACCAGGGGUUAAGAGAAUUCCUGUGAGUUCAUUGUGAGACUACCUCUCUUUCAUUUCCCAGUCCUUCAUCAGAAAAUUCAAGAGGCUCCUAUCACAUCCUAGAAUAAAGAUUUCCUUUAUGCAGGCUCCAUCCUCCAUCAGUAGGAGUCAAGUGGUAGCCCCAAAUUCUGCAUAUUUCUCUCACUCCUUUCAAACUGUCCAAUACUUACUAGCACUUUCUUCUUUGGAACAUCAUGUCCUAUAUUUCUGUCAUUUCAGUCACAAGAAGUGUAGGGCCCUAGAUCGUCCCCUAUCCCUUGGCCUUUAAUCUCCUUAUGGCUCCAAAAAUUGCCUUUUCUGCCACCAUCUCCCUUCUGCCCCAUCUCCUGAAAGAACUGGAACUUUCUGUCAAGCAUCUAUCAAUUAUCAACCAAAUUCCCUACAUCCCCUCACAUUUCCUUAUUUUAUUUGCUGGAACUAAAACUCACCUCUCCUCAAAGGACCCUGCUUGCCUUGCAGCCUCCUCAAGGGGUGGCUGUUUUCUCUCCCAGACCCCUCAAAGCACUGAGUCUGGAUGUGGGGUAGUGUCCUCCUCCCUCCUCAUUGCUUCUUCCAGAUCAUUAUUCCUCAUUUCUCCCUAAGACUACACAGUUUGAAUGACUUCAAUAUUGCCAAACCUCAAAGUGUAUUUGAGUCUUCAUUUUACUUGAUAGAUCAGCAGCAUUUUACACAGUUGAUCACUCUCUUUCUGCUGAGACAGUUUCUUCACUUGACUUCCAGGACACCACACUCUCCGGCUUGCUUCCUGCUUCACUAGUUGCUCCUUCUCUGUUCCUUUGCUACUUCCUUCUCAUCCCACUUAUCUCUAAGUGAGAGCCCCUGCACUUAAUCUUUGAACCUUGCCUCUUCUCUGGAUACACUUGCUGCCUUAACAAUCUCAUUUAAUCUCAUGAUUUUCUAUGCUUUCUAUAUGUUGAUGACUCUACAAGUUAUAGCUUUAUUCCAGAACUUUCUCCUGAACUUGAGAUGUAUGUAUCCAAGGGCUCACCUGACAUCUUCAUCUGGAUAUUAAUAGGUAUUUCAAAAUUAACACAUGAAAAACUGAGCUCCUGAUUUUUUCUUCAGAUCUUCUUCUCUUGAAGCCCCUCCAACCCACACCAAUCUCAGCAAAUGACAAUCCCAAUCUUUCAGUCAUUCAGGCCAAAAACUUUGAAGGCAUCCUUGACUCCUUUCUUUCUCUCACACUGCACAUCAAAUUUAUCAGAAAACCCUAAUGGAUCCUCUUUCAAAAUAUAUGUAUGGUAUCUGACCAGUUCUUACUGGCUUUACAACUACAACCCUGGCAACUGUUAUCUGUUACUUGGAUUGCUGCAAUAACUUCCUAACUGAUCCUUCUACUUCUGUCCUUGCCUCCUUCAUUUCUAUUCUAAAAAAAAGCAGCCAAAGUAAUUCUGUUAAACAUAAGCAGAAUAUAUCACUCGUUUGAUUAUAACCCUACAAUGGCUUCCUAGCUCACACUGUGUAAAAGUUAAAGUCCUACAAUAACCCUUCAAAGUUUUUGGCUAAGUAUGUAAGAUAUCUAGUGUGAUAGCAUUAAGUGCUGAGGUGGAAAAUUAAAGCAGGGAAUGGAAAUAGAGAGCAUCAAAGAUAGAGUGAUGAUUGCAUUUUAAAUAGACUUGAAGGAGAUAAUAGAGUAUGCCAUACAGAUAUUUAGGGAAAUAAUAUUCUAUGCAGAGAAAAGAGCAGGUGCAAAGGCCCUAAGGCAGAAGCAUGCUGGAAUAUACAAAGAACAGCAAGAAAGCUUUGCGCACUGGAGUGGCAGGAGAUGAGGUGAGACAGGCCUAUUGAUAAUGUCUCUUUCACUAAAAUAUAACAUGCAUGUGGAUAGAAAUGUUUGGCCUAUUUUAUCUACUGUUUUAUAACUAGAACUCAACUCUCAGCUAGCAUUCUACUCACACUGACCAUGUGUUCUGAGUUACAGUGGCAUUUUAUGUUACAGAAUCUUUUUUUGAGACCGGGUCUGGCCCUGUUGCCCAGGCUGAAGUGCAGUGGCGUGAUCUUGGCUCACUGCAACCUCUGCCUCCCAGGCUCAAGCCAUCCUCCCACCUCAGCCUCCCGAGUAGCUGGGACUACGCGCACACCACCAUGCCUGGCUAGUUUUUAUAUUAUUUGUAGAGACAGGGUUUCGCCAUGUUGGCUAGGCUGGUCUUAAACUUCUGAGCUCAAGUGAUCCACCUGCCUUGGCCUCUCAGAGUGCUGGGAUUAUGGGGUGUGAACCACCACACCCAGCCUAUGUUACAUAAUUUCGGUUUUUAGUGUCCAUAAUUACGGUCUGAAAUAGGUCAAGGGGACCCCAUGAUGGUCCUGGGAGAUGAGCAUUGAGACUACAAUGAUAGAAUGGAUCAGACCAUGCUUGAAGGACCUCAGAAGGUCUAGUCAAACUGUCAACUAACCCUCAUAGUUUGCAGAGCUGCUGGGAGACAAAAUCAUGUCCAGAACUCUGGAGCCACAGGAUUCCUUUGGGUCCCCAGAACUUCUUUGGAAAAGAUUAUAAUGGCUUUAACAUCAUUAACGUUUAUUGGGUUUUUACAAUGUAACAGGCAUGGUUCUAUGCACUUUACACAACUAAUUCAUUGAAUUCUCUCAACAACCUAAUGAGGUCAGAACUAUUAUCCUCAUUUUUGAUGUGAGAAAACUGAAGUACAGAGAGGUUAUGUGGCUUCCAAAGUCACAUAGUUUAAAAGUGGCAGAGACUGGAUUCAAAUGUAAACAAUAACCACUGCCGGGGUACCAUGGGAAGUUGUGGUCCAGACACUAAAUCAAGCUGCACCCAAGGUGUCCUAAUCCUACUCCUUCUUUCUCCACUGGAUGAGAGAAAAGGAGCAGGACCUAAGCCUCCUGAUUUUGUGGGAAUUUGCUUUUCUGUUCCAUGUUUCUCCCUCCGCUGCCCUUCUAUGCAUUGAAAUGAUGGGCAGGGGAACAUUUUCCGCCUCUGGAGGCAGGCGAGCAAAGACUCGAUGCACUUCCCCACCUCUUGCACUGGCUCAUACUUUAAUGGCUGGAAGUUUAAAAUCACAUCCCAAGCUUCUUGGAACUCAAAAUUCAGUUAUCUGACUCAGUAAAAUGUAGCUUUCUCACUUAAAAGGAUUUGCCCAAGGGGCCUCUGGGAUUUCAAAUAUACUUAAAAGCAACAACUGUGUUGAAUCAUAGAAUCAUAAGGGAUUGCAUUUCCGCUGGAGAACAGACAGGAUGUUUUAAACAGAGGGGGAAAUGUUUGAAGUUCGCCAAGCUUUGAGUUUCAUCCCACCCACCACAUCUGAAAACUAUCUGAGUCAUUUGAUGAAGGCAAAAUACAGCUGGGCUCCCUUAUUCUUAGUGUUAUUGUGGCCUACCAUCUUGACAUUGUGAUGCUAUCUGUGCAAGAACAUUUCACCUACAUCUACCAACCCUUUUCUAAACUGGAAUCAGGAAGAGUCUGUUCUCCAAAGUCUAUCUGGAGUGGAGUGGGCUGAGGGUGGUGUGGAGUAAAUAUUCUUAUAGACAGAAGGCAAAUACAGCUCUAGACAAAACAGUGAAGAGAAACAGGUUUGUCCAUGGCCCUGAGCUGCUGUCAAGGAGGUUACAGGGCCUUUAUCUCUUUCAUGGUGCUGCAGUAUUGUGUAGUGUGUUUAUGAACGUAGAUUUGGGAGUCAAAAAGAUACACGUUUAAUCUUGACCCUACCCACUUAUUUACUCACUGUGAAUCCUUGGGCAGAUUACUUAACCUUUCUAAUU